UGGUCAUUAAAGAUAUACUACUACUUCAUGAGUAUAUGUCACUAGGCAAGGAAUUGAAGAUUGGUAUGUCAAUUGAAUACCUUUUUGAAAACUGGGAAGCUAAGCUGCUUGUAGUCAAGUAUUGAAGAUGUAGAGAGUCUAUACAAGACAACUUGGUCGGGCUUGUAGUGAACUAACAGUUAGUUUAAAAUGAUAAUUGAAGGUUACAAAUGAAUUGGUUCCUCAUGACUUCAUCAACCGAUCUUUCAAUUCAAUUCAAAAUUGAUGGUCGAGUUUCCAUAGAUCAAAUUGGAGGGGCG